GAGAGUUGCAGAACGUCCUCUGCUUCUGCUGCAAAAAUGGACAGACGAGCCCCUCUUCCUCUCCUUUCUUUUGCCAAAAAAUCUCUCCCUUUCUUCUUAUGGAAAUAAAUAGAUAAAGGAGGUUUUAUAUGGGUCAGAGAUCUGCCAUAGAAUGAGUAAAAAUGUGGAAGAUUCCAGAGAAAGUGAGUUAUUAAAUCAGAUGAACGAAAAUGCCACGUCAGCCAU
rnacentral:misc_RNA from 1 species